rnacentral:sRNA from 1 species
GCUGACAGGAAAUUCCUGACGUUUCAGAGCUAUGCUGGAAACAGCAUAGCAAGUUGAAAUAAGGCUAGUCCGUUAUCAACUUGAAAAAGUGGCACCGAGUCGGUGCUUUUUUU